rnacentral:lncRNA from 1 species
AACAAACUUAUAAAUGUUGCUGCUUUACAGCAGUAAAAGGUCCCAGAUGAAUUUGGAACACUAUUUAAUGGAAAUGAUGUAGUUUUCUCUUUAGAAUCAGAUUCUAUAAAUGAUCCCAGGAGUUUAGGACAUGAACCUCUCUGUUUCUAGGUAUAAACUAAACUUUAAUCAUAAGAUGGCAAAAUAAAGAGCUAGACACAUUAUUAAAGAA